CAGCAAUUUAAGGAAAAGAUUUAUUCACUGAAAGAGCAAACGUGCAAAACAUUUUUAGCCUCCGAGCAGAAAUCUGUCAAACAUCUGAAAACACACGUCCGAACACUACUCCUUUUCCUCUCCUCCCUUUCUGUCUCUUGAUCUGGGAUGUGGCGUUCCCAUCCAAAUAUUUCCAGAAGAGCAGAUGAAGAAAGGAGUUGGGUGGCGGGAUCAGCUGGCCUGUGAUCUCCUGUGUGAGCCAAGCUGUCUGAUUGGCUGGAGGGCUGCAGGGCCAUCUUGCCUCCCUGGCAGGCAAGUGGCUUAAGCAGUUUGGUGAAGGAGGUGUGUGUGUGUGUGUGUGUGUGUGUGUGUGUGUGUGUGUGUGUGUGUGUGUGUGUGUGUGUGUGUGUGUGUGUGUGUGUGUGUGCCUGCGUGCGUGCGUGUGUGUGUGAUUGCAUUGUAGCAUUUGUGUGUUUGUGUGUGUGCAUGUGUUAAUCCGCAGGAGACAAAUCAUUUUUAAGACCUAAAAAUAACAGGAAAAUGUAUUUAAAAAGCCUGACAGAACAAAUAUUAAAUUAAUGUUCAAUUUAUAUUCAAAUGCUUUACAUCAGUGCAUAAGAGACAUAAAAUAACUGGUUAUUUAAAUUCACUUAUUAUUAUUAUUAUUAUUAUUAUUAUUAUUAUUAUUGUUAUUAUUUUUACUCUUGAUUUCAAUAGGUCCCAAACUUUAAACCACAGAACCAACACCCCAUGACUAACAAUACCAACAACUAACCAUACCACCAUCUUGCAUCACCAUGUUCUUACAGCACCUCCAGCUUUCAACACCACCAACUCAUAACACCAUCAACUAACCAAGUCUGAUGGCGCUGAUGCAGACACGUGUUUCCUGCUGAUGGAGGUCAGAAAGGAGCAGCAGGUGGUGUAGAGCUGCAGCAGGAACACAAACACACACAUGUAUGCACUCACACACACACACACACACACACACACACACACACACACACACUCGGGCUGUAGUGUUAAAUGAAGGUCCUUUGUGUUAUUGCUGACAUUAUGUUUUAUUCCCUGCCCCCCCACCUGGAGCACCUUUAAUGAUGAUACACUCACACUCACAGGG